rnacentral:rRNA from 1 species
CCUACGUGAGGCAGCAGUGAGGAAUAUUGGUCAAUGGGCGCGAGCCUGAACCAGCCAAGUAGCGUGAAGGAUGACUGCCCUACGGGUUGUAAACUUCUUUUAUAAAGGAAUAAAGUGAGGCACGUGUGCCUUUUUGUAUGUACUUUAUGAAUAAGGAUCGGCUAACUCCGUGCCAGCAGCCGCGGUAAUACGGAGGAUCCGAGCGUUAUCCGGAUUUAUUGGGUUGAAAGGGAGCGUAGAUGGGUUGUUAAGUCAGUUGUGAAAGUUUGCGGCUCAACCGUAAAAUUGCAAUUGAUACUGGCAGUCUUGAGUACAGUUGAGGUAGGCGGAAUUCGUGGGGUAGCGGUGAAAUUCUUAGAUAUCACGAAGAACUCCGAUUGCGAAGGCAGCUUACUAAACUGCCACUGACAUUGAUGCUCGAAAGUGUGGGUAUCAAACAGGAUUAGAUACCCCGGAUAGUC